CCUGUGUGCGAGGCUAAUGAGCACAUGUACUACUUUGUUUUCCCCGUGAAUGACUCUGUGUGCCAGAGAGGGAGAAGCUGUCGCCUGUUGAUCCACUGAUUAUUUCUCCUUGUUACAGAUUGAGUAAAAGAAAGUGCUGAAUCUCAUCAACGAGUGGUCGUGUGGUCUUUAUGUGUGUGAGGGUGACCGGUCCAAACAUGCUACAC